rnacentral:rRNA from 1 species
CCGGCGACCGGCGCACGGGUGAGUAACACGUAUGCAACCUGCCCGUCUCGAGGGGGAUAAUCGUCGGAAACGGCGUCUAAUACCCCGUAUGAAGCUGGACGGCAUCGUCUGGUUUGAAAGAAUAUCGGAGACGGAUGGGCAUGCGGCGCAUUAGCUAGUUGGCGGGGUAACGGCCCACCAAGGCGACGAUGCGUAGGGGUUCUGAGAGGAAGGUCCCCCACACUGGUACUGAGACACGGACCAGACUCCUACGGGAGGCAGCAG